rnacentral:rRNA from 1 species
AGUGAACGCUGGCGGCAGGCCUAAUACAUGCAAGUCGAACGGCAGCACAGCAGAGCUUGCUCUGUGGGUGGCGAGUGGCGGACGGGUGAGGAAUACAUGGGAAUCUGCCCAGUCGUGGGGGAUAACGUAUGGAAACGUACGCUAAUACCGCAUGCGCCCUACGGGGGAAAGUCGGGGACCGCAAGGCCUGACGCGAUUGGAUGAGCCCAUGUUCGAUUAGCUAGUUGGCGGGGUAAAGGCCCACCAAGGCGACGAUCGAUAGCUGGUCUGAGAGGAUGAUCAGCCACACUGGAACUGAGACACGGUCCAGACUCCUACGGGAGGCAGCAGUAGGGAAUAUUGGACAAUGGGGGCAACCCUGAUCCAGCCAUGCCGCGUGAGUGAAGAAGGCCCUCGGGUUGUAAAGCUCUUUUGUCCGGAAAGAAAGCAAUCGGUUAAUACCCGGUUGUUCUGACGGUACCGGAGAAUAAGCACCGGCUAACUUCGUGCC